UACCUUUUUGACAUGUAUUUUUUGUUAAAGGACCCAUGUUUGUCUAACUCCACUUUUCUUAGUCCGCGGUUCAUUUCUUUGUGUAUUUGGACCCUAAUAGUUCAUACAGUUUGAAUUUGAACCCUCCAGCUGCUGCUAAACUAUCUUUAGAUUCAUUUGGACACAAAUCCAGUGGAU